rnacentral:rRNA from 1 species
UACGUAGGUGGCGAGCGUUAUCCGGAUUUACUGGGUGUAAAGCGCGUGCAGGCGGUCAUGCAAGUUGGGCGUGAAAUCUCCUGGCUCAACCGGGAGAGGCCGUUCUAUACUGCAGAGCUAGAGGAUGGUAGAGGGAGAUGGAAUUCCAGGUGUAGCGGUGGAAUGCGCAGAUAUCUGGAGGAACACCAGCGGCGAAGGCGGCCUCCUGGACCAUUCCUGACACUCAGACGCGAAAGCUAGGGUAGCAAACGGGA